GAAUUUAAGAAUUUACCUUUUUUAUUUUAUUAAAACCAAAAUAGGGGCACAUUGACAAAUCACAGAUGAGCACGAAAGCUCCCAAAAAAGGCAGAAUGACACAGUUACACCAAAAAGAUUGAAAAAGAAAGGAAAUAAAAAAGACAGCGCCAGCCACUCAAAAUGCCAUCUCUAAAAAUCAAAUUUCAGGUACAGGCUGGUCCUCCUCGUCCGGAGAAGCCAUCGUCCAUUCUCCGUCUUCUCCUCUGACCAUCCCUUUGUUCUUCUCUAUCCACCAUGAUCCUGGCACCAUGCACUCAUCUUUCAAGAACUCACAUGACUUGUUCACCAAAGCCAAGCUUCUCUUCACUCUCAGCUUGAACUCUCCUUUCUCACCGUUCCACCCUGCCACUAUAUGCAACAUCGCCUGCAAAUUAUGCCAGUCACUAGGAUUCUUCGAGUCCUUUAGGUUCGGGGAUUUCCUAGUAUCGAUUUCGAGCUCAGUUCCUGUAUAUCUAUAGCCCAAAAGUCUUCCUGGAUAGUGUGGAAUGACAUCAAUCUUGUUCUUUAUAUGCAAAACUUUAAGAUUGGGAUACUUUUUGAACCUGGAAUUGAAGGCUUUGUUUCCAACUUGUGGGCUGCCAAAGACAAAAGCAGCUACUGGGAUAUCGGUAAUACCAUUUUCCACUAGAUCAAAAGCAGCUAAAAUUGAUAAACUAGCACCAAGGCUAUGCCCUGUUAAGAUUAUGCUUAGAUUAUCAUCUCGAUAUUGCUCCCUCAACUGAUUAAUCUUGGUCAAAAGUUGCUGCCUGGCACUUAAUUUCGUGAAAGGCGAUUUUGGGUCAUCAGAAAUAUAAAUCGUAAGCCAACCUAGCAUUACCUUAGGGACUUUCUCAUCAUCAUCGUUGUCACUGUCGCUGCUACUAUUAUUCUCUUCAAUUCUCUGGCUACUGCCCCGUAACAAUGGUAGAGCGGAGUGGAGCUUCGCACCUAAAAUGUCAACCCACUCAUAGUUUCUGGUGGUUCCCCGAAACACUAUAUAGAUUUCACGUCGUCCAAGAACUUUGGUAUACUCGUCAGAGGUAACAGAGAUGUAGCCGAUCCAGUUAGAUUCGCGGUCCCAGGACUCCCGGGACAUCGAGUGGAGAAGGAAGGCUUCUGGGAGGCUGACCCGAGCCGUCCCAUAGAGGAAAGAAGAGACUCGAUAGUUUUCAGCGUCUUCCAGCAUCACCUUUUGGAAGAAGUUGUUCUUGCCGUAGCGGCUGGUACCGCAGUACUUGGAGUUCUGGUCGUUGUUGAAGGAAUCAUAGGUGGCCUGGCAGAAGUCGCCGCAGCGGAGAACAAGUUUCCGGACUGUGAGGUCAAGAGGGUCAAGGAGGCUUUCCCAGUUGUUGCCACCCAGGAUUUCAGGCCAUGUUGGUUCUUGAGGGUUUGGUGUUUCCAUAGAGAAGAUAAGGCAAGAAAUUGCAGAUAAUGGAUUGGAGAUGGUUGAUCUUGG
rnacentral:misc_RNA from 1 species